GAUGAACGCUAGCGGCAGGCUUAAUACAUGCAAGUCGAGGGGCAGCAGUUUUGUAGCAAUACAGAAGCUGGCGACCGGCAAACGGGUGCGGAACACGUACGCAACCUUCCUUUAACUGGAAGAUAGCCCACCGAAAGGUGGAUUAAUACUCCAUAACAUAUUGAAGAGGCAUCUCUUUGAUAUUAAAGCUCCGGCGGUUAAAGAUGGGCGUGCGUCUGAUUAGGUAGUUGGCGGGGUAACGGCCCACCAAGCCUUCGAUCAGUAGCUGAUGUGAGAGCAUGAUCAGCCACACGGGCACUGAGACACGGGCCCGACUCCUACGGGAGGCAGCAGUAAGGAAUAUUGGUCAAUGGACGCAAGUCUGAACCAGCCAUGCCGCGUGGAGGAUGAAGGCCCUCUGGGUUGUAAAGCACUUUAAGUCGGGAGGAAGGGUUGCAGGUUAAUACCUUGCAGCCUUGACGUUACCGACAGAAUAAGCACCGGCUAACUUCGUGCCAGCCGCCGCGGUAACAC
rnacentral:rRNA from 1 species